AGCAAUUUGGAUGUCUGCAUAAAAGCAGACUUGUUUUUUUUUCUCUCCACUUCUGGCUCCUGGAAAUAAUAUUCUCUUAACCUUUUGGAAUUAAACCAGCCAAAUAGAGUGUAACAUGUUUCUUAAUCAUUUGGGCCACCUUCUCCUUUCUGAAUGGAUGUUGGUUUCAGUGGGAAUGUUUUCUGUGGUUGUGGAUCAUUGAGAAGAUGGUGCUGAUUUGCUCUGGUAAGCUGAAGGAACAACCAGGCACGUGGCAUGAAGUGAAAUAAGGACAAAUGCAAGAGACAUCCUGGAGACAGGCAACUGAGGACAAAGAAAGUCUGUGGGGAAAGGGUGGUGAACCAGGUGCCCACCUGCCAGCAUUAUUGCUGAGGCACAUCUCAGCCAGGCCAUCAAGCUCCAGAUGAUCCUCAGUGAGGGAUACCGCUCUCUCAGUAUUCAAGAGUCACCCUUCCACAGAGAAGCCCUAGACUGCCCAUCAGUGGAAUAUGAGAGAGCCUGCACCAGAUGCAACUCCUAUAGAAGAGGGAAAUCCUGAACUGACUGAGCGAACUCUCAGAAUUGACCAUGAUUCACAUUUUUACCCUUGACGGAAAAAGGAUUCAAGGAACACAUUACAUUUCUGUUUUAGAAAAAUAAAGUUGUAUUUUUGCAUACCUG
rnacentral:lncRNA from 10 species